AUUUUUCAGAGUUUCAAAAGCAUCCAUCAUUAAAAUAAUACCAGAAGUGUGUGCUGCUAUCAAUGAAAGUCUAAAAGAUUAUAUCAAAAUACCGAAUGUGGAAGAAUAGCAAGAUAUCCAAAUAGGAUUCGCUUCGAGGUGGAAUUUCCCUAAUUGUUGUGGCUCUAUCGAUGGGAAGCAUAUAACAAUUCAAGCACCACCAAAUUGUGGCAGUGAAUAUUAUAACUACAAAGGAAAAAAUAGUAUAGUGCUCAUGGCUGUUGUGGAUCACGAUUAUACUUUCAGAUAUGUAGAUAUAGGCUCAUAUGGUCGUAACGCAGAUGGUGGGGUAUUCCAAAACUGCUCUUUGUAUCCUUAUCU